rnacentral:sRNA from 1 species
UUUUUUUUGAGGGGAGAAGGGCAAUCUGGAAAUCCCGUUUGCUGUAGAACUUUGAUAUCUAAUAUGGUAGCUAGCCACAUGUGGCUGGUUAAAAUGAAAUUAAGAAUUCAGUUCCUCAGUCAUAGUAGCUGCAUUUCAAGUGUGUAAUAGUCACAGCAGUAGGUAGUGGCUAGCACAGGUACGAACAUAUUCGCCCUCCCAGAAAGUUCUGCUGGACAGCACUGUGCUAUAGUUUCAAAGGAUCCAUAGUCUGUCGUCAUUAAAAGCUUUUGAGCCAAAACACUAAGGCUUUCUUCAUCCUCUCUUUCAAGGGAAUAGUAACACGAUGAAAUGUAGUCAGCUGUUUCAUUUCAUUCUCUCUUCUGACUUAUAGCAACACAGGAAAGUGUUGGAUAAAGGAAAACCUGAAGAUGUGAUGCCAUCUGUUAAGGGUGCCCAGGAGCGCCUGCCAACGGUACCGCUGUCCGGCAUGUACAAUAAAUCUGGAGGAAAAGUGAGACUCACCUUUAAACUAGAACAAGACCAGCUGUGGAUUGGCACUAAAGAGCGGACUGAGAAAUUGCCCAUGGGCUCCAUAAAAAAUGUGGUCAGUGAACCUAUCGAAGGACAUGAAGACUACCACAUGAUGGCGUUUCAGUUGGGCCCCACGGAAGCCUCUUACUACUGGGUGUACUGGGUUCCAACUCAAUAUGUGGAUGCAAUCAAAGACACUGUGCUGGGGAAA